rnacentral:rRNA from 1 species
UACGGAGGAUCCAAGCGUUAUCCGGAUUUACUGGGUUUAAAGGGUGCGUAGGUGGACUUUUAAGUCAGUGGUGAAAUCUGAUAGCUUAACUAUCAAAGUGCCAUUGAUACUGAUUGUCUUGAGUAUGGUUGGAGUGAAUGGAAUGUGUUGUGUAGCGGUGAAAUGCUUAGAUAUAACACAGAACACCAAUCGCGAAGGCAGUUCACUAAGCCUUUACUGACACUGAUGCACGAAAGCUUGGGGAGCAAACAGG